CCCGAAAAGGAAGGUGCCCUUCGGGAAUUCCGAGACAGGUGCUGCAUGGCUGUCGUCAGCUCGUGCCGUGAGGGUGUUGGGUUAAGUCCCGCAACGAGCGCAACCCUAUUGCCAGUUGCUACCAGGUAAUGCUGGGCACUCUGGUGAGACUGCCCGGUUAACGGGAGGAAGGUGGGACGACGUCAAGUCAUCAUGGCCCUUACGCCUAGGGCUACACACGUACUACAAUGGCGCAUACAAAGGGCAGCGAUACCGCGAGGUGGAGCCAAUCCCAAAAAGUGCGUCCCAGUCCGGAUUGCAGUCUGCAACUCGACUGCAUGAAGUUGGAAUCGCUAGUAAUUCGAGAUCAGCAUGCUCGGGUGAAUGCGUUCCCGGGCCUU
rnacentral:rRNA from 1 species